GAUGAACGCUGGCGGCGUGCCUAAUACAUGCAAGUAGAACGCUGAAGCUUGGUGCUUGCACCGAGCGGAUGAGUUGCGAACGGGUGAGUAACGCGUAGGUAACCUGCCUCUUAGCGGGGGAUAACUAUUGGAAACGAUAGCUAAUACCGCAUAAAGUCGAUAUCGCAUGAUGUUGAUUUGAAAGGUGCAAUUGCAUCACUAAGAGAUGGACCUGCGUUGUAUUAGCUAGUUGGUGAGGUAACGGCUCACCAAGGCGACGAUACAUAGCCGACCUGAGAGGGUGAUCGGCCACACUGGGACUGAGACACGGCCCAGACUCCUACGGGAGGCAGCAGUAGGGAAUCUUCGGCAAUGGGGGCAACCCUGACCGAGCAACGCCGCGUGAGUGAAGAAGGUUUUCGGAUCGUAAAGCUCUGUUGUAAGAGAAGAACGAGUGUGAGAGUGGAAAGUUCACACUGU
rnacentral:rRNA from 1 species